CUGAGCAAGUCGUCCUGAUUUCUGUACAAUUGCGCCACCUGGAGUCAUGGAGGGAAUAUAGCAGCAAGAAGCUGAAGGUGAGAUGGAAUCUCAGGAGAGGCGUGUGUGGGGAGAAGUUCCCUUCUGUCAGCACAAGUCACUUUGGAGAAGCAGUUACCAACACACCGUGUGCGCUACAGAAUGACGUCUACCUCCAAAGGACAGAUUAACUCUGGGGCUAAUGACAAGAGUACUUGUGCAACAGAAAAAGGGUCCCUCGUCUUUUAUUGCACCUGUGUUUGCAUAAUAAGUAUUUUCCCUAAACUGACUAGAAUGGAUAUAAGCCACUUCAAUUUUGUGUUUUGGUCUAGCAGCUAAAGUUUAGCCUAAAUUAGAAUAAAGGGUCAAAAGCAUGACUUAAUUGGGCACAAAUAUGUUAAAAGUAUACAACUGAAUGAAAGCACCAUGUUUUACUUUUCCUUGGGAUACCUUUUCCCCCGGUUAAUAAAAGCAGAACACAUGAGAAGUAUAGCCUGGAUUAUAGCUUACCGGGGGGCAUUACUGUAACAAUGUGCCCUUCAAUUCUUCCCUUUCCAGUACAACAUAUGUACAUAGAAAUUCUAACAUUUAUUCAUUUCCAAUUCAAUACCACUAACUAGAAUAAAGGCCCAUGAAAAGGGAAACUGUA